rnacentral:rRNA from 1 species
AUUGAACGCUGGCGGCAUGCCUUACACAUGCAAGUCGAACGGUAGAGGGGCAACCCUCGAGAGUGGCGAACGGGUGAGUAAAGCAUCGGAACGUACCCAGUUGUGGGGGAUAGCCCGGCGAAAGCCGGAUUAAUACCGCAUACGCACUGAGGAGGAAGGCGGGGGCUCGCAAUACCUCGCGCGACAGGAGCGGCCGAUGUCCGAUUAGCUAGUUGGUGGGUUAAAGUCCCACCAAGGCGACGAUCGGUAGCUGGUCUGAGAGGAUGAUAAGUCCCACUGGGACUGAGACACGGCCCAGACUCCUACGGGAGGCAGCAGUGGGGAAUUUUGGACAAUGGGGGCAACCCUGAUCCAGCCAUGCCGCGUGAGUGAAGAAGGCCUUCGGGUUGUAAAGCUCUUUCGGUGGGAACGAAACGGGUAGCGCCAAUACCGCUGCUCAAUGACGGUACUCACAGAAGAAGCACCGGCUAACUACGUGCCAGCCGCCGCCGUAAUAC